rnacentral:rRNA from 1 species
CUACGGGCCGCAGCAGUGGGGAAUAUUGGACAAUGGGGGCAACCCUGAUCCAGCCAUGCCGCGUGUGUGAAGAAGGCCUUAGGGUUGUAAAGCACUUUCAGAUGUGAGGAAAGGUGUGAGCUUAAUACGUACAUACUGUGACGUUAGCAUCAGAAGAAGGACCGGCUAACUCCGUGCCAGCAGCCGCGGUAAUACGGAGGGUCCGAGCGUUAAUCGGAAUUACUGGGCGUAAAGCGCGCGUAGGUGGUUUCGUCAGUCAGAUGUGAAAGCCCCGGGCUCAACCUGGGAAUUGCACCUGAUACUGCGGAACUAGAGUACGAUAGAGGGGAGUGGAAUUUCCGGUGUAGCGGUGAAAUGCGUAGAGAUCGGAAGGAACACCAGUGGCGAAGGCGACUCCCUGGAUUGAUACUGACACUGAGGUGCGAAAGCGUGGGGAGCAAACAGGAUUAGAUACCCUAGUAGUC